AAAAUUCCAACCAAUUUAAAUUUUUCAAAAACAACCCGAUUUCAUUAAAUUAUUACAAAAAGGUUUUCAAUACAAUUUAUUUAGAGUAUUCCCAGAAUCACAUCACAACAUAAACAUGAGGAGCGGUACGAUCACGCAUUCGCCUUGCCAUGGUCUUCUGAAGAACCUGAAAAACAUUAAACCACAACUGUAAGCCCGAAAGCUUAGAGAGAUAUCCCCAAAAUACCAACCACAUAUACCAUACACGCAUAACAUGCCACAUCAUAUCCGAUCACAGAACAGCCAUGCACUUCGGGUCUGCUGUGUGACUGGUCCGCCGCACUGGCCAACAGUCCACAUGGUCCACCCUCCAAGUCUACCCAUAUACAUCGAGUCUAUAGUGUGAUUGGUCCACCCGCACCGGGCCUUCAAUCCACCUUGUCCCCUCUCUGAGUCUACAGCAUGACUGGUCUGCCCGCACCGGGCCUUCAGUCGGCCUGGUCCACUCUCUGAGCCUCGGCACGUCUGGUCCGCCCUCUUGGGGCCUACAGCCUAUCCGGAACGCUUGCUGGGCCUUCGGGACAACCGGUCCAUCCUGAGUAUCUUGGCCUACAGCACAAAGCAGGACCCGCCUCAACCCGACUCCAGUCCAAACAACCAUGUGCACAUAAACAUACAAUCAUAUAACAAUUCACAGUCAACAAGCCGAUCAAACAGACAUAACAUAUCAUCAUCCUAACCAGGAUACCGACCUAACCGGUCACUAGCAUAGCAUCACCAUACAUAUCAGGAUACCGACCUCAACCAGGUCUCUAACAUACACCAUCCUAGCUACCAGAAUGCGAACAUAUCAAAGCAAAACAUAACAACAAAUACCCGGAUCUCAAUCCGAUAAAGGGCUGGCCUUGGUGCCUUAGACCCUGUUGAUAUAGUGAGGAUAACUCACCUCGCAACUGCCAACUAAACUGAUAAACCCGAGCUGCUCCGACCACUGAUAGGAUCUCCACCACUCGCCAACCACCAAAACACUGAACUCAAAACAAUAUCCAACAAUUACCAAAAUGCCCCUGGAGAAUAACUGGUCAACCCUUGGUCAGAGUCAAAGUCAAAGCCAACCCCUGACUGACUCUACUCGCCGAGUCCACAUACACAAAACUUCCCCCAUCCGCGACUUAACUCACCGAGUCACCCCAAGACUCGCCGAGUCCAGCAACUUUGAGUCCUUUCUCACUCGACUCACCGAGUCACAGCUCAACCAGAAGAAACUUGGACCUCACGACCAGACUCGCCGAGUCCAAGGCUAUCUUCAACCUACUCGCCGAGUUGUUCUUCUAACUCGCCGAGUUCCAAACCAUCUUCAAGCAACUCACCGAGUACACCUUUGCGACUCGCCGAGUGCGUCUAGAUCUCAUCCCAUACAGAAGCCUUCCAGGUCAUGCAAAUGAUCCAAAACGUAGAUCUACCCUCCUACAACCCAUCCAUCACGUAAAGUGGCAAACUUUACGUGAAUCCAAAUAGAUCUAGGCAUUUUACACUCUAGGGCUAGGGUUUGGGACAAGAUGGCUUCACCAAACACUUAAGAACAGGUACUUUAAUGCACUGUAGACCUCCUCCAUCCCAGAUCUGAGGUAGAAACCUCAGAUCUAUCCUUCAAAGUCAAAAUACCACAAGCUAAACCUCCCACGCAUCCCAAAAAUGAUGAAUCUAGAUGAAUAGCAGCCCAAGAACGAGAUAAUACCUCAAAAGGAAGCCCCAACAGCAAGGAAAUCCGAAUCUAAGCAAAUCCCCUUACUCCAAACCUCCUAACUCUCCAAGAUCUUCCUCCAAAUCUCUUCUCCAAGGCUCAAUUGCACUCAAAUCCUUCACAAUCGCGUUUCUAGGGUUUUCUGGACUUCAAGGGAAGGUAAGGAGGCUGGGGAGAGGGUAUAAUGUCCUUUAUAUAGGGCUCAUCCUCCGAAAUUAGGGUUUUCUCCACUCAGCACUAACUCGCCGAGUCCAGCCGCUGACUCGCCGAGUUGGUCACUUAACACACGACCAAAAUCGCGACCCUACUCGCCGAGUCCUCUCGUGGACUCGCCGAGUUGCCCUUUCCCAAUUACACUUUUAGCCCUUCAACUUUACUCUUGAUAUUCCGGGAUGUUACAAUUCUCCCUCUCUUAAAUUAGGCUUUGUCCUCGAAGCCUGUGACAACUCAACUCCAGAAUUACUCCGCAACACACCACCUGGCAUUAACCAAACCAGGUUCCUCAAAGCACAACCAUUGAAACCCAAAACUCACUUUCUCCUUUCUCGCGGUGUCCUGACCACUGUGUCAAGCGGGCCACCGAAUUUACCCUCUGAUAACCACACCUAUCAGGCUCCACACUUAUCAACUGAGUACCACUCCAUGGCACUUUUCUCGAUCAAGAUCACAACAAUCACUUGACUCUUACGAGCUAGAUAUAACCCGGAACCACCGGGUUCCCGAUCCGAGUCCAACUUUAUCCACUCCAUGCUGACAGAAUGACACAUUCUUCAGCCUCAGAGCAACUCCCAUGUGUUCUCCUCUUGCAAUCACAUGCACAUGCUGAACUAGCCCUAGCACUCUCGAGUUGGGAAAACCCGUCACACUGACGACACCUCCAAACAUCCCCCAGGAUGAACCACCACUACAUACACAACUCCUUGAUCAGAAUCAAGCUGGGAAUCGAAGAUUCCAUCCCUGCAUCCCUUCCGAGCCUCUUGGCUCUACACCCGCGGAAUCCCUUCCGCGACCUCAGCGGAUAUCCCAUCCGGAUGUGAUUCCAUACCACUGCCGCAAUCGUGCUGCUCAAAGACCAUAAUUGGGUCACUCCAAUCAUAACUCUGCACUGAUGCUUUCACUUCCGUGAAUUUACACUCCCUCUCGGAGCUACAUUCCUCUCUUUUUCCUUACCAAGGAAAUCCACUUGGCCGCCUUGUCACUGCGAAAAGUGCCACGGUGCUCGCCCAACGCUACACCAUUCCCUUAUAGCAUAACUGCUAUCCAUGCAACACACAUGCUCUGAAUCUGCUCACAAGGACUCUCGAGUCCCUGCACCAUCUCUACUAAUAAAGAUCAAUACCUGGGGCCAGACCCUCUGAUGCUAACACAUCGCGACCUACCCAACCCAUUUCCUCGAACCGGUCUAACAAUACCUGCAGAGUCUUCAACAUGACUGGACCACCUUACCAGGCCUUCAGCCAAUCUGUACCACUCUCAGAACCUUCAGCCACUCUGGACCGCCCUCUAGGGCCUUCAAUCUGGCUGGACUGUCCUCUGAGCCUUUGGCCUGACUGGUACGCCCGCACCGGCCUUCAGUCUAUCCGGACCGCUCAACUAGCAUUCAUCAUUCCGAGUUAUCACUCCAGGAAAUCCUCCCAUGCAUACUGUUCUAGCCCUCUAGGGGUUUCGAACUCUAUCUCCAUCAUACAUACUUAAUCCCGGCCUGAUCCCAGGCCCUCCACAAACAAAUGCCCUAGGUCUGUAUCCCACCCCACAUGCCUGCCACUUACUCAUACCAGCCUACGCUCUUGGCUGAUAGAACACUGCUGAAUCCCAAACAGCUAAACAACCUCACAUGCUCAUCGAUCUUCUGGAGAAUUUUCCAAUUCUCCCCCACUUAUAGCACUGACUAUCAAUCGCCGGUCGCCAUCACCGACCUCCCUCAACAACCUUACACAACACAAUCACUUACACGCGAACUGCGUCCCGCAAGCACGAGUAACCUUCACGAAAUCAUAUAUCAACACUGAUCAUCCCGAACUCGAAAGAAACUCAUUCUGCAUCUAACCACUCCUCAGAAUACAGAUGCUACCCAACCUUCAAACCAGACGCCAGAUUUCCACUAACAAUCCCCAUGAAUGAUAACCAACGAAAUUCCCAUCACUAACCCAUAACCAUACCAAACCCUCAAGGAACAAUGAAUACCAUACCGAAAACCACACAAUGAGACUAGCAGAUAAACAAUACUCCACAAUAAUCACAAGAUAAUCAAGACAUCAAGAAAGAAACAUACCCGCAGCUGCAUCCGGCACUGCUCUGACCUCCUCUGCUGUAAGCUGAAAAGCACGACCCUAAGCCCUUGGGGGCACCGCUCCGCCCUGACCUCCAACCGUGACCCUCAAAGUGGCCGGUGCCGGAACCUGCACCGGUCCUGCAUCGAGCUGUGGACAGUUGACCCUCAAAUGUCCAACCUGAUGACAAUGAUAACAAAUCCUCAAAUCCCCAACUGGCGCUGACUGCCGACAAUCCCUCACAUAGUGCCCCUCCUUUCCGCACUUGCGGCAUGCACCACCAGACCUACAAACUCCAGUGUGACCCUUCCCACACUUCCCACAAGUGUGGCUGCUCUAAUCUCCCACCCUGGAAUCAACGGUCUUGGACCGUUUCGACGCCGGCUGCGACUGCAUUGGAGCCUGCCUCAGCUCACGCAACUGCAACUCAAUCUCCAACUCACGCCGCCUAGCGGCCUCCUGCAACUCUAAUAAAGUCUCGCACCUCUGCGUAGACACAAACUGUCUGAUAUCUCUCUUGAGCAUACUCAGAUAUCGGGACAUCUGAGCCUGCUCCGAAGCGAACUCAGGGCAAAACAUCGCCCUCUCAGUGAACAUCCUGGUGAUCUCCAUCACCGACUCCGAAUCCUGCUUCAGCUUAAGGAACUCCUGAGCCAAUCUCUCUCUUUCUCAACCCGCGGAACAUAACGAGUGCUGAACAUCUCUCUGAACUCAUCCCAUGAAACCGCAACCCUCUGCGCAUCCGAAUAUGACCCCGUGGUCAAUCUCCACCAAUCCUUCGCCCCGAGCCUUAACAGGUUUAGAGCACACCUCACCCUCUGAUCAGCAGGGCACGAACAUGUGAAGAAAUACCCCUCCACAUCCGGCAACCAUCUCAUAGCAACGAUCGUGUCCUGAACUCCGUGAAAGGUAGGAGGCUUCGUAUUAUCGAAGUCCUGAUACUAAAAACCCCGACCAGCUCCUCCCCCUGCUGCUAUAGCCGCGGCGGCAGCCGUCUCUGCGAGAGCUGCAUAACGCUCAUCAAAAUACUCAACCAUGGCGGUCUUGAUCGACCCAAACAGUUCCGACUACUCAGCCCGGAACAACGCAACAACCUCAUCAUGCAGGAUCUCACGAAUUCUUGCAUCCAACUUUCACGUGCUCAUCUGACCAAUAACCUCGGGCGGUACUGACCCGCCCGGAACUCCCUCUCCUGCUCCCGAUCCUGACCCGGAUCCACUCCUAGCAUGCCUCGAAAUCUCCAUACUGAAAAACACCACAAAAUCUCAGACACUUCCACGUGCUCAUCUGACCAAUAACCUCGGGCGGUACUGACCCGCCCGGAACUCCCUCUCCUGACCCGGAUCCACUCCCAGCAUGCCUCGAAAUCUCCAUACUGAAAAACACCACAAAAUCUCAGACACUUCCCACUAACCCGGGAACCAACUCUCAAACCAACCCUAGAGGUCAUGGUUUCCCUGAUACGCGUAUGGGUCCUGUGCUUUCAGUAGUACGGGCCCAUACUACCUUCCACACCUACCCAUAUUUGUAUGAAGUACUACCACAACACCCUAGUGAAAACAUACAUAACAAGCGCUCAAUCCUCACUACUAGAGGAACACUCGGUAUCUCCCACAAGGAAACCCUAGGCUAACAGGCAUCAUAAAUCAGGAAACAUUAUCAUGAAAUCCUGAAGAUCCCUAUCCUAGCACUAGCAUGUUGUUCUAUCAAAGCUCAAAAACUAAUAUCAUGUAUUUUGGGUUUACUUACUGGCUCCGGCUGAUCGUACCUCCGCGUCCUCCUUUACUCAUUUUGAAAACCAUUUUAAAUUCUCUUUUGAAAACCCUCCUCGAUUUUAGACUGGAAUCACACGAGUGUUCCUCCAAUUCACUCAAACAAAGGCUCUAAUACCAACUUGUAACGACCGAAAAAUUCCAACUAAUUUAAAUUUUUCAAAAACAACCCGAUUUCAUUAAAUUAUUACAAAAAGGUUUUCAAUACAAUUUAUUUAGAGUAUUCCCAUAAUCACAUCACAACAUAAACAUGAGGAGCGGUACGAUCACGCCUUCACCUUGCCACGGUCUCCUGAAGAACCUGAAAAACAUAAAACCACAACUGUAAGCCCGAAAGCUUAGUGAGAUAUCCCCAAAAUACCAACCACAUAUACCAU
rnacentral:lncRNA from 1 species